UUAAGCGACUAAGCGUACACGGUGGAUGCCCUGGCAGUCAGAGGCGAUGAAGGACGUGCUAAUCUGCGAAAAGCGUCGGUAAGGUGAUAUGAACCGUUAUAACCGGCGAUGUCCGAAUGGGGAAACCCAGUGCAAUUCGUUGCACUAUCGUUAACUGAAUACAUAGGUUAACGAGGCGAACCGGGGGAACUGAAACAUCUAAGUACCCCGAGGAAAAGAAAUCAACCGAGAUUCCCCCAGUAGCGGCGAGCGAACGGGGAGCAGCCCAGAGUCUGAAUCAGCUUGUGUGUUAGUGGAACGGUCUGGAAAGUCCGACGGUACAGGGUGAUAGUCCCGUACACCAAAAUGCACAGGCUGUGAACUCGAAGAGUAGGGCGGGACACGUGGUAUCCUGUCUGAAUAUGGGGGGACCAUCCUCCAAGGCUAAAUACUCCUGACUGACCGAUAGUGAACCAGUACCGUGAGGGAAAGGCGAAAAGAACCCCGGCGAGGGGAGUGAAAAAGAACCUGAAACCGUGUACGUACAAGCAGUGGGAGCACCUUCGGGUGUGACUGCGUACCUUUUGUAUAAUGGGUCAGCGACUUAUAUUCUGUAGCAAGGUUAACCGUAUAGGGGAGCCGCAGGGAAACCGAGUCUUAACUGGGCGUUAAGUUGCAGGGUAUAGACCCGAAACCCGGUGAUCUAGCCAUGGGCAGGUUGAAGGUUGGGUAACACUAACUGGAGGACCGAACCGACUAAUGUUGAAAAAUUAGCGGAUGACUUGUGGCUGGGGGUGAAAGGCCAAUCAAACCGGGAGAUAGCUGGUUCUCCCCGAAAGCUAUUUAGGUAGCGCCUCGUGAACUCAUCUUCGGGGGUAGAGCACUGUUUCGGCUAGGGGGUCAUCCCGACUUACCAACCCGAUGCAAACUACGAAUACCGAAGAAUGUUAUCACGGGAGACACACGGCGGGUGCUAACGUCCGUCGUGAAGAGGGAAACAACCCAGACCGCCAGCUAAGGUCCCAAAGUCAUGGUUAAGUGGGAAACGAUGUGGGAAGGCACAGACAGCCAGGAUGUUGGCUUAGAAGCAGCCAUCAUUUAAAGAAAGCGUAAUAGCUCACUGGUCGAGUCGGCCUGCGCGGAAGAUGUAACGGGGCUAAACCAUGCACCGAAGCUGCGGCAGCGACACUAUGUGUUGUUGGGUAGGGGAGCGUUCUGUAAGCCUGCGAAGGUGACCUGUGAGGGUUGCUGGAGGUAUCAGAAGUGCGAAUGCUGACAUAAGUAACGAUAAAGCGGGUGAAAAGCCCGCUCGCCGGAAGACCAAGGGUUCCUGUCCAACGUUAAUCGGGGCAGGGUGAGUCGACCCCUAAGGCGAGGCCGAAAGGCGUAGUCGAUGGGAAACAGGUUAAUAUUCCUGUACUUGGUGUUACUGCGAAGGGGGGACGGAGAAGGCUAUGUUAGCCGGGCGACGGUUGUCCCGGUUUAAGCAUGUAGGCUGAUUGUCCAGGCAAAUCCGGAUAAUCAAGGCUGAGGUGUGAUGACGAGGCACUACGGUGCUGAAGUAACAAAUGCCCUGCUUCCAGGAAAAGCCUCUAAGCAUCAGGUAACAUCAAAUCGUACCCCAAACCGACACAGGUGGUCAGGUAGAGAAUACCAAGGCGCUUGAGAGAACUCGGGUGAAGGAACUAGGCAAAAUGGUGCCGUAACUUCGGGAGAAGGCACGCUGGUGUGUAGGUGAAGUCCCUGCGGAUGGAGCUGAGACCAGUCGAAGAUACCAGCUGGCUGCAACUGUUUAUUAAAAACACAGCACUGUGCAAACACGAAAGUGGACGUAUACGGUGUGACGCCUGCCCGGUGCCGGAAGGUUAAUUGAUGGGGUUAUCCGUAAGGAGAAGCUCUUGAUCGAAGCCCCGGUAAACGGCGGCCGUAACUAUAACGGUCCUAAGGUAGCGAAAUUCCUUGUCGGGUAAGUUCCGACCUGCACGAAUGGCGUAAUGAUGGCCAGGCUGUCUCCACCCGAGACUCAGUGAAAUUGAACUCGCUGUGAAGAUGCAGUGUACCCGCGGCAAGACGGAAAGACCCCGUGAACCUUUACUAUAGCUUGACACUGAACAUUGAGCCUUGAUGUGUAGGAUAGGUGGGAGGCUUUGAAGCGUGGACGCCAGUCUGCGUGGAGCCAACCUUGAAAUACCACCCUUUAAUGUUUGAUGUUCUAACGUUGGCCCCUUAUCGGGGUUGCGGACAGUGUCUGGUGGGUAGUUUGACUGGGGCGGUCUCCUCCCAAAGCGUAACGGAGGAGCACGAAGGUUAGCUAAUCCUGGUCGGACAUCAGGAGGUUAGUGCAAUGGCAUAAGCUAGCUUGACUGCGAGCGUGACGGCGCGAGCAGGUGCGAAAGCAGGUCAUAGUGAUCCGGUGGUUCUGAAUGGAAGGGCCAUCGCUCAACGGAUAAAAGGUACUCCGGGGAUAACAGGCUGAUACCGCCCAAGAGUUCAUAUCGACGGCGGUGUUUGGCACCUCGAUGUCGGCUCAUCACAUCCUGGGGCUGAAGUAGGUCCCAAGGGUAUGGCUGUUCGCCAUUUAAAGUGGUACGCGAGCUGGGUUUAGAACGUCGUGAGACAGUUCGGUCCCUAUCUGCCGUGGGCGCUGGAGAAUUGAGGGGGGCUGCUCCUAGUACGAGAGGACCGGAGUGGACGCAUCACUGGUGUUCGGGUUGUCAUGCCAAUGGCACUGCCCGGUAGCUAAAUGCGGAAGAGAUAAGUGCUGAAAGCAUCUAAGCACGAAACUUGCCCCGAGAUGAGUUCUCCCUGAGACUUUAAGUCUCCUGAAGGAACGUUAAAGACGAUGACGUUGAUAGGCCGGGUGUGUAAGCGCAGCGAUGCGUUGAGCUAACCGGUACUAAUGAACCGUGAGGCUUAACCUU
rnacentral:rRNA from 2 species